GGCAUAUGGAGGUUCCCAGGCUAGGGGUCAAAUCAGGGCCGUACCCACCAGCCUACCCCACAGCCACAGCAAUGCAGGAUCCAAGCCAUGUCUGCGACCUACACCACAGCGGACGGCAGUGCUGGAUCCUUAACCCACUGAGUGAAGCCAGGGGUCGAACCCAUGUCCUCAUGGAUGCAAGUUGGGUUCGUUAACCGCUGAGCCAUGACGGGAACUCUGAGGGGAAACACAAUUCAACCAUAAUAAUUUCCUUCUGUUAAAUCAAAAUUAUAUUGUGUUUCUUCCAGGUUAUAAUCUGGUUAUAAACGCAAACAACACAAUGUAGUACUCUGUGUGCUUUCUCAGUCUCUAAUGCUUUGUACUGAAGGAGGAGGAUAUAGUCAAUGACUAUCCUACAAUCUAUGACUCUCGCAAUGUAAUUUUAAGAAAGGAUACUUAGGACACGAGAAAGCAGAACUCUUCUGCGUUUUGGGAGUAUGCAGCAGAUCUUUGUGAUAUCUCAAGCCACCAGGUCUCAACACAGCUAAAUCCAUGCAUUGUGGCCCAUUCUCCACAUCAUGCAUCUACCAUAGGAUCUCACUGCUUCUUUUUCUUACAGUUGUAUAAAGUUGCUCAUCUAUACCCAAAAGAAAGCCAAAAGUAAGGAAGUUAACAUCUCCCAAGAACGAGGGAUGUAAGUCAACGGAUAAAGGUCUCUAUGUCUAUCUUCUGAUAGGAUAACCAGAGCUAACCAGCUCAAAAAUUCACCUUUUUCUGUUUUUGUUUCUUUUUCUCCUCCCUAUUUCCUAUCUCCCUCUUCUAUCUCUAUUCCUGGUAUCACCUCUAAAAUAAAUCCUCUACAUCCAAGUAUCCCUCUGCAUAUCUCAGGGUCUGCUUUGGAGCAAUCAAAGUUAAGGCAGAGGGCCAAGUAGGUGGAAAAAAAUAGCAUGUGAAAAGAUCCUUAGUUAUGAAAGACAUUGAGGGAGCUUUGAAGUCGGGCAUGACUGCAGCAAAGACAACAUAGAGAGAGAGGAGUAUGGAGAGAUGAGGUGGGAUAAUGAAGGUUCGUAUCUCCUGCAUUGGAAACUCUCAAUCUCUUCAUUUGAUAGAGAACCAUAAACAUUUCUAGGCAAAUGGGAGCAUGAUAUAAUCUGUGAAUUAGAAGUCACUCUGAGGAGACAUGGGAGGCAGGAAGACCAGCUCUGAUACCCCUGAAAGAGUUUAGUUACAAAAAAAAAUCCAAACAAAAGCAAUGGCAGCAGAGCCAGGACCUGGAUGUCAAAGAAAGGUGAUACGAGUAUUUCAGAUUAGACAGACUGUAUUGAUGGCAUAGUUGUAAAAGACAGGCAAAGAGACAUAGAAGUGAUUCUAAGUUUUGUUUGAAUAAUGAUGUGGUUAUAUAAGGUUAAGCAAGUGAGGAAAUGUUUGAUGGACUAGCAUGGCUGUUCAAUUAGAGACUGUUUAGUUCAGUGUUUCUUAAAUUGUAGUAUGUAUAUGAACCACCUUGGGAUCUUGUUAAAAUGUGAAUUCUGAUUCAGCAUUUGUUGACCAGGGCCUGUCCCUCAAAUGACCGCCCAGAAAGAGAGAUGCUACAGGUACUCAGCACACUCUGAGAAGAGGAGGUACAAAUUAAAGAUCCUAUCUGUGAGAUUCAAACCCAGUCCUAGCUUAGGCAUUUGCUCAUCCCUCUUAAUUAAUUUUCCUUCUAGCUCUAACCUGAUGUGUCUCUCACAAAAAUAGCUUCUGAUUUCUUUGCAGGUCCUUCCUCACUCACA
ensembl:lncRNA